GAAGGUUCGGCCCUUCGGUGCCGCCCUGCGGGGGGAGGUAUCAAACCGCCUCAUGCUGCGUUGGCUGAAGACCGUCGUGGUGAGCGAUGAGGAGAAGGCGCGGAUUACCGUGUCAGGU
rnacentral:ncRNA from 1 species